AUUGAACGCUGGCGGCAGGCCUAACACAUGCAAGUCGAACGGUAACAGGAAGAAGCUUGCUUCUUUGCUGACGCGUGGCGGACGGGUGAGUAAUGUCCGGGAAACUGUCUGAUGGAGGGGGAUAACUACUGGAAACGGUAGCUAAUAUCGCAUAACGUCCCAAGGCCUAAAAGGGGGACCUUUUGGCACCUUGCCAUCGGAUGUGCCCAGAUGGGAUUAGCUAGUAGGUGGGGUAACGGGUCACCCAGGCGACGAUCCCUAGCUGGUCUGAGAGGAUGACCAGCCACACUGGAACUGAGACACGGUCCAGACUCCUACGGGAGGCAGCAGUGGGGAAUAUUGGACAAUGGGCGCAAGCCUGAUGCAGCCAUGCCGCGUGUAUGAAGAAGGCCUUCGGGUUGUAAAGUACUUUCAGCGGGAAGGAAAGGAGUAAAGUUAAUACCCUUCCUUAUUGACGUUACCCGAAGAAGAAGCACCGGCUAACUCCGUG
rnacentral:rRNA from 1 species